CGCCCGCCGCCCCGCGCACGCGCCGCCCCCGCCCCUUCAGCGAGGGUCGCUAGGGAGCACCCACGGGCGGCCUGCCCCUCGCCUCCUGACCGAGUCCCCGCGGACACCCUCUCUCUCGCCCGCCCGCCCUUGGGGUGGCCACGAGGGACUUCCUCUGCUCUCCUCCUCCACACCCGCCGCCCCGACUUCCCGCCCCAACGUCAGGCACUCGCUCGUCCGCCCUCUCCUCUGGGCCGGAUGCCCCUCCCCCCCCAGGGGGCACCAGGAAGGUCUCUGUGCCUUGGACAAAGACGCUCUCAAACUGAACGGAGUCAUUCAGCAUCCUCCGCGAGAUCUGGGGUGGCCCCAGAAAUGCACGUGUCACACCUGUCCACGCAGGUGAUGCUGAAGCCUCGGCGGUAGUCCGAGCCACCUCUGUCCCCAUCCCCAGCGGGCUGCGGCCGCUGCCUCGCUUCUGACCCUGAACAGCCCCCUGUAAGCUCAGCCAAGAGAAACCUAAAAGCUUGAGAAAGUUGUGUCUCGUGCUGAGCGGAACAGAGUGGGGUGAGAGCUCCCCGAGGAGCCCAGCUGAUCUUGGGGAGCCUGUUCAAGGUCGCCACUCCCUAGCACUCAGGUUGUGAAGGAAGAGCUCCAAAGACCCAUUGAGAGGCAGCCAGGACUGGAGGAGGAGAAUGUGUGAGGAUCUAGCCCGGGAUGCAUUUUUUUAUGUCACUGCUCAUACAUUUUCCCGAGCUGGAGGCUAAGCAAGCCAAUUCGUUCACAACUCAUUUUUCUGGGCUGGCCUCCUCUCAUGGCUAAGUCUUUCAACACCAACAGGUUCUUCCCAGUCAAGGAGAUGCAACUGAACUUGGAUUGAGCCCAGCUGGAAAGGUUUCUGAUUGCCAAGAUGACCUGCUGCUUUCAAGGAGAACAGAAUUCAAAUGAUGAUUAAUGAAGUGGUAGGGAGGAGAGCGAGAAAGGGCAGAUGACACUGCAUUCGGCAACAGUGCAGUUGAAAAAGGAUUCUUGGGUGGUGUGGGAAGUAUUAGGAGAGCUCCAGGCCCCUUCUGUUUCCCAAUAGUAGCCAUGUUCUCUGUGCUUUUGACUUUGAAUGUUUUUAUUGUUUGUCACUGAAGCCAGAUAUUCUGGAUUUGGAUCCUAGCUUCAUGUUUAUAUGCUGUGCAGUGUUGGGGAAGUUGCUUACCUAGCUGUGCUUUUGCAACAUUGUUCCAAAACAAGGACAAUAAGCCUCAAAAGUUAAAGGAACCUGGGCCAGGGAUGUAGCUCAGCGGCACAGCCUGGUAGAGGUCCUGAGUUCCAUCCCUGGUACCAAAAAAAAAAAAAAGUUAAAUGAACUAGUGAGAUAGGUAGAACAGUGCAUUAAGAAGAUGGGCUGUGCAGCUUCUGGCUCAGUAUAAUUUCCAGCUCUAACACUCACUUGUUGUGCAGCCUAGGACAAGUUAUUUAACCAUUCUGCUUCAGAUUUCUCAUACAUAAAACUAACAUGGGGCUGCGGAUUUAGCUCAUUGGUUCCAGUGCCUGCCUCAGAACCGCAAGGUCCUGAGUUCAAUCCCUGGUACCAACAAAACAAAACAAAAAAACAAAAAUUAAAGAAGAAUUAAGAUGUUUAAAGAACAACAACAACAACAACAACAACAAAACUAACAUGACAAUAGCUCUUAUCAUGGAGCAUGUUCUGAUGAAUUAAUACAGUCAGUGCCACUAGGCUAAACCUAGACCCCAAAGCUUUAAUAAGUUGCCCAGGUGAUUCUACAAGGAGGGGAAGUAGGGUACUUCUUUGAGUCAACAGCUGUGCAUCAUCCGAUGAGUGAUUUCUUUCAUCUGAGACUCAGUUUCCACACCUAUAAAAUGGAGAGUGGCAGAGAAGAGUGUCUAAGCUGUCCCUGUAGAACUCUGGUUUUGUGGGAGUGCUUCGUACCUAUGUGCCUUUGCACAUCCUGCUCCUUCUGCCCAGAGUGACACCCCAGCCUACCACUUUGGCGUGUCUACUGGCCCUCUGAACCUCAGGCCUUCCCUUCCAGUGAAGGUGAUGGCACCUGACUACAGGCUCGUGCUCCUCCUUAGACAUCUGCUUUUGGUCACAGGCACCUCUCUGUGCUCCACACAUGAAGUGCACAGGGACCCCAUCUGUCCACUCUCCUGAAGCACCUUCAGCAAGCCAGUGAGACCUUGUUCAGGUGAUGCUGAUGAUUCUGACCCAAGAAUGAUAUGCUGAGAACCACAAGUCAGAACAACCAG